GACAUUCUAGACGAUCAUAGAGAGCCCCACGGUCCAUGGGGCAAGCAUGGGCUUCCAUCGAAGGAUGUGAGAAACUAUUGGAAAGAUUCCAGCUGGGAAGCUCCAAGCAGAACCUUGAGGUUGAAUUCAUACCUUGAUGGCUGUGUUCAAGGAGGGACUCAAUGGGGGAGAAAAGUGAGAUCCAACAAAUUGAGGGAACUCUUCCAAAGGAGAAGAGACAAUGAAGGCACCGGCGGCCUUCGAGACUGUGGCUGUCACCACGGGGCCCUCCCCGCCACCCUGCGCUGGCCUUCAGGCUCGCUUCUGAGGGAGAGCACGCAGGACGCCUCCUGGCUUCCUCCCGGGCCGGGCUCCCUCUCUCCCUGGGGUGUGUGGCCUGGGAGCCCUGACCUGCCUACAGGGUGUCGGCUGCCCGAUGCUCCCUGGCUGGAGGUGCACCUGCAGGUGGAGAAGCCUGAGGAGCUCAGCGAGGGCCCAGCACCGGCCACCAGCUCUGGAGCAGGUGCGGCUCCCAGCCUUCCGAGGGAAGCAGAGAGGCUGGCCUCAUGGGGACGCACCUGGAGGCCAGCUGGGGAUGGGACAAAUGAAUGUUGAUCUCGCCUUAAGCCACUAAGUUUGGGUGGAUGGGGACAUUCAUAGUCACUGGUGAUCACAUUCUGUCCGAGAUCUUUAUUCAGUGGAUGUUUUAUCCAGAAGAAAGUCUCUUUCAGAUCAAUCUCUUUGGCUUAAUUAUGAGAAUAAGGGGAAGCAAUUUAUGCAGAGACAACUUUUAAACAUCUAAUGUGAUCAUGAAGCAGACCUGAUUGAUAGAGGCUUCACUGUGCCCAACUCAGAAGCGUAGGCUUCGCGGAGAUGUUCUUACGUUUUCCUGAGGAACGAUUUGGGGGCACCGAGCCUGUUGUUAACCCUCUGGUUAACCAACAGUCUUUAAAAAAAAAUCAUACCUAGCAUACCCCUGAUAUUCAGGAAGGAAUUUUGAUUUUAUUUUCCCCAGUCCCUCCUCAUCAUCCCAGGGCACACUAUUAUCUCCCCAAAAGAUAGAAGGCAGAUACGUUUUCGAAGUGCUUAUACACCUGAUGACAACAUCAGGCAGUUUGGCUGAGCAUGGUUCUCACAUCUGCGGCUUUCUCCACCGAAACCCCAGAGCUGCACGUGCAACUCUUCAGCACCUGUUGCAGGGGCGCGUUCUCAGAUCAGCCUCCACCUGCUGGUCUCCGGGGAGCUCUGCUCUGAACGGAGGGAUGGGUGCUCGUAAGACUUUGCUUCACUCUUCCUUCUAAUUAAAAGAUUGUCAGAACCUGCCUAGAUGUGGAGCUGAUAAGAAUUUUAAAGGCUCCUCUUUGUAUAUAUAUUCAGGUCUUCCCAAAAUCCCAGAUGUCGUAAUGACACACAACAUCCCUCACAGCUCCCCGCCUUCCUUGCCCAGGACCUCUGGGUGCAUUUUGCCCUUUCUGAGAACACUUCUACCAUCAGUUUCCCUCCUUCUUGACCUUCAGGACUCUGCCCCUCAUUCAGAGAUGCCGCUUUGACCAUGUGAUCCCGAAAGUUUCCCCCAGUGUGUCUUUUAUGCUUCAUUUAACCCGCUUCAUUUUUU
rnacentral:lncRNA from 12 species